rnacentral:rRNA from 1 species
CCAUGGGUGCUACCAUGCAGUCGAACGAUGAACCGCUUUCGGGCGGGGAUUAGUGGCGAACGGGUGAGUAACACGUGGGCAAUCUGCCCUGCACUCUGGGACAAGCCCUGGAAACGGGGUCUAAUACCGGAUAUGACUGUCCAUCGCAUGGUGGAUGGUGUAAAGCUCCGGCGGUGCAGGAUGAGCCCGCGGCCUAUCAGCUUGUUGGUGAGGUAGUGGCUCACCAAGGCGACGACGGGUAGCCGGCCUGAGAGGGCGACCGGCCACACUGGGACUGAGACACGGCCCAGACUCCUACGGGAGGCAGCAGUGGGGAAUAUUGCACAAUGGGCGAAAGCCUGAUGCAGCGACGCCGCGUGAGGGAUGACGGCCUUCGGGUUGUAAACCUCUUUCAGCAGGGAAGAAGCGAAAGUGACGGUACCUGCAGAAGAAGCGCCGGCUAACUACGUGCCAGCAGCCGCGGUAAUACGUAGGGCGCAAGCGUUGUCCGGAAUUAUUGGGCGUAAAGAGCUCGUAGGCGGCUUGUCACGUCGGUUGUGAAAGCCCGGGGCUUAACCCCGGGUCUGCAGUCGAUACGGGCAGGCUAGAGUUCGGUAGGGGAGAUCGGAAUUCCUGGUGUAGCGGUGAAAUGCGCAGAUAUCAGGAGGAACACCGGUGGCGAAGGCGGAUCUCUGGGCCGAUACUGACGCUGAGGAGCGAA